GCAGCCAAUCCAACGCCAUGGGAAAGCUCUGGGAAUGCUCUGGGAAUGCUCUGGGAAUGCUCUGGGAAAGCUCUGGGAAAGCUCUGGGAAAGCUCUGGGAAAGCUCUGGGAAUGCUCUGGGAAUGCUCUGGGGACACACACAGCCAAUCCCAUGGGAAUGCUGGGAACACGCAGCCAAUCCCUUGGGAAUGCUCAGGGAAUGCUCAGGGAAAGCUCUGGGAAUGCUCAGGGAAUGCUCAGGGAAAGCUCUGGGAAUGCUCAGGGAAUGCUCUGGAAAAGCUCUGGGAAUGCUCUGGGGACACACAGCCAAUCCCAUGGGAAUGCUCAGGGAAUGCUCUGGGAAAGCUCUGGGAAUGCUCAGGGAAAGCUCUGGGAAUGCUCUGGGAAUGCUCUGGGAAUGCUCUGGGGACACACACAGCCAAUCCCAUGGGAAUGCUCAGGGAAUGCUCUGGGAAAGCUCUGGGAAUGCUCUGGGAAUGCUCUGGGAAUGCUCUGGGAAUGCUCUGGGAAUGCUCUGGGAAUGCUCUGGGGACACACACAGCCAAUCCCUUGGGAAUGCUCUGGGAAUGCUCUGGGAAUGCUCUGGGAAUGCUCUGGGAAUGCUCUGGGAAUGCUCUGGGAAUGCUCUGGGAAAGCUCUGGGGACACACACAGCCAAUCCCUUGGGAAUGCUCUGGGAAAGCUCUGGGAAUGCUCUGGGAAUGCUCUGGGAAAGCUCUGGGGACACACACAGCCAAUCCCUUGGGAAUGCUCUGGGAAUGCUCAGGGAAAGCUCUGGGGACACACGCGGCCGAUCCCCCGGGAAGCUCCAGCUCCAGGCGCUGGGAUCCAGCGGGAUCGAUCCUACCUCCCCUGGAUCCUACCUGCCCUCGGCUGCUCCAGGGAAAGCCGGGAGCUCCGGCGGGAGCGCGGCGGCUGCUCCGCCCCGGCCGCGCUCCUCCUGCGCUCCCCGUCCCCUGCGGGACAGGGAAAGGCCGGGAAUUGGGAAUCCCGGGAAAACCCGCUGGGAAAAACUCCGGAAUUGGGAAUUCCAGGGAAAAACCCGCUGGGAAAAACUCCAGAAUUGGGAAUUCCGGGGAAAACACGCUGGGAAAAACUCCGGAAUUGGGAAUUAUUCAGGGGAAAACCCGCUGGGAAAAAUCUCGACAAUUGGGAAUUC
rnacentral:lncRNA from 1 species